rnacentral:rRNA from 1 species
GAGUUUGAUCCUGUCUCAGAACGAACGCUAUCGGUAUGCUUAACACAUGCAAGUCGGACGGACUAAUUAGGGCUUGCUCCAAUUAGUUAGUGGCAGACGGGUGAGUAACACGUGGGAAUCUGCCCAUCAGUACGGAAUAACUUUUAGAAAUAAAAGCUAAUACCGUAUAUUCUCUACAGAGGAAAGAUUUAUCGCUGAUGGAUGAGCCCGCGUCAGAUUAGGUAGUUGGUGAGGUAACGGCUCACCAAGCCGACGAUCUGUAGCUGGUCUGAGAGGAUGAUCAGCCACACUGGGACUGAGACACGGCCCAGACUCCUACGGGAGGCAGCAGUGGGGAAUAUUGGACAAUGGGCGAAAGCCUGAUCCAGCAAUACCGAGUGAGUGAUGAAGGCCCUAGGGUUGUAAAGCUCUUUUAGCAAGGAAGAUAAUGACGUUA